rnacentral:rRNA from 1 species
UACGAAGGGAGCUAGCGUUGUUCGGAAUCACUGGGCGUAAAGCGCACGUAGGCGGAUGUGUCAGUCAGGGGUGAAAUCCCGGAGCUCAACUUCGGAACUGCCCUUGAUACAGCACGUCUUGAGUCCGGAAGAGGAGAGUGGAAUUCCCGGUGUAGCGGUGAAAUGCGCAGAUAUCGGGAAGAACACCCGUGGCGAAGGCGGCUCUCUGGGGACGGUACUGACGCUGAGACGCGAAAGCGUGGGGAGCGAACAGG